AGCUGUGAGGGCGAUCUGACUGUGACAACUGCCACCCCAUUGAUAGCCAGGGUUGAUUCAGCCGAUCUGACUGGCUAGCCGAGUGUCCCCUUCCUCCCUCACCCCUCCAUGUGUGCCCCUCCUGAAGCUGAAUGCUCAAUUGAAGAGGAUGCCCAUCCCCGCUAGAGAAGGACCAUUCGCUUUCCCCUGCCAGGACCUCCAGAAUGCAGCUCGAGGUUCAGACACGGAAGGCUGGGGAAUGAACACAGCACCUCUGAAAAUGUGGAGAACGUGAGACAUUUU
rnacentral:snRNA from 1 species